rnacentral:rRNA from 1 species
GAUGAACGCUAGCGGCAGGCCUAAUACAUGCAAGUCGAGGGGUAGAAGAGGCUUGCUUCUUUGAGACCGGCGCACGGGUGCGUAACGCGUAUGCAACCUACCUUCAUCUGGGGGAUAGCCCGGAGAAAUCCGGAUUAAUACCGCAUAAAAUCACAGGAUGGCAUUAUCCAAUGAUCAAACAUUUAUGGGAUGGAGAUGGGCAUGCGUGUCAUUAGCUAGUUGGCGGGGUAACGGCCCACCAAGGCGACGAUGACUAGGGGAUCUGAGAGGAUGGCACGCCACACUGGUACUGAGACACGGACCAGACUCCUACGGGAGGCAGCAGUAAGGAAUAUUGGUCAAUGGAGGCAACUCUGAACCAGCCAUGCCGCGUGCAGGAAGACUGCCCUAUGGGUUGUAAACUGCUUUUAUUCGGGAAUAAACCUUAUUACGUGUAAUAAGCUGAAUGUACCGAAGGAAUAAGGAUCGGCUAACUCCGUGCCAGCAGCCGCAGUAA